GUAGGUGGCAAGCGUUGUCCGGAAUUAUUGGGCGUAAAGCGCGCGCAGGCGGGGUCCUUUAAGUCUGAUGUGAAAGCCCACGGGCUCAACCGUGGAGGGUCAUUGGAAACUGGGGGACUUGAGUACAGAAGAGGAAAGCGGAAUUCCACGUGUAGCGGUGAAAUGCGUAGAGAUGCGGAGGAACACCAGUGGCGAAGGCGGCUUUCUGGUCUGUAACUGACGCUGAGGCGCGAAAGCGUGGGGAGCAAACAGGAUUAGAUACCCUGGUAGUCCACGCCGUAAACGAUGAGUGCUAAGUGUUAGGGGGUUUCCGCCCCUUAGUGCUGCAGCUAACGCAUUAAGCACUCCGCCUGGGGAGUACGGCCGCAAGGCUG
rnacentral:rRNA from 1 species